rnacentral:rRNA from 1 species
UCCCGUACACCGACCCUGCUGUUCAAACUUGACAUCAAGAAGGCUUUCGACUCACUGCGAUGGGACUUCCUUAUGGACCUGUUAAGACACCUCGGGUUCUCGACCAGAUUUCAAGAUUGGAUUUCUGCACUCCUCUUCACGACCACCUCGAGGGUUUUGAUCAAUGGGGUGGUGGGCGACCCAAUGAAGCACGGUUGUGGACUCCAGCAGGGAGACUCGCUAUCCCCGCUCCUCUUCGUUCUGGCUAUCGACCCCCUGCACCACCUUCUC